UCUAUGACUCCUUCAAUUUGCUGUCUAUACUGGUGAUUUUGCACCUAGAGGCUGUCACCCACUACCUAAAGAUUUUGACCAACUUGGUGGUGGACACCUUACACUUAUGAAAUGGAGAAGAUGCCCCAGCACUUCUCAAAGUCUUCCCAGAUACUUACACUAAGCUCAUUGUUCAGCUGGACUAAACCUCAUCCAGCAAAUUGAAUGAAUGGUAAACUAGCCAAAAACAAGAAUCUGAUCAAGAUUUGGUGCAAAACUUUUAAAAACAGGAUUCAGAUGAAUGUCUCUGUCCUCUGGGCUGAUAACUGCACUUCCCCUUUCCUUUGUUGGAGGGAUGACAUCUAUACCUGGACCAUCGAAAAUGGGACCUACAAAGAAAACACUGCCAACACAUCUUUGUGAAUUUCAACCUCCCAUAUCUUGCUGUGGGCCUCAUCCUACUGGUUCUCUGUGGCUGCCUGAUCAUGAGUGUCAAGCUCCUGAGCUUCAUGCUGAAGGGGCAUAUUGCAGUUGUCAUCAAGAAAACCCUCAACACUGAUUUCCCCCUUUCCCUUUGCCUGGGUAACAGGCUACCUGGCCAUCCUCCUCGGGGCAGGCAUGAUCUUCAUUAUGCAGAGCAGCUCUGGAUUCUUGUCUGUCUUGACCCCAUUGAUCAGUAUUGGCGUGAUAACUAUUUAGAGGACUCUGGCCUCCACAAUUGACCAACACAGCCAUCCCUGGCCACCUUAGUCAGCCCAAACAACACUCUCAAGAGUUCCAUCCAGAUCACACUGUGACACUUUUUCUUCAGCAUCAGCAUGAUCUUACUUUGGUACCCAAUAUAGUUCACCCACCUGCCAAUCCAACUGGCCAAGGGGCUGGGCAACAUCUCCACCAAAUACUGCUGGUUUGCUGUGGUCUACCUGAUUUUCUUCCUCUUCCUGACCCCGCUAAUAGUCUAUAGCCUCUCACUGGCUGGUUGGCUGGUUCUGGUGAGUGUGGGGAUGCCCAUCAUACUCCUACUAUGAGUGGUCUGCCUCUGGCUGCUACAGUCCCACUGCCUACUUGUACUGCCCAUGAGGCUCCGCAAUUGGAA
rnacentral:lncRNA from 1 species